GACGAACGCUGGCGGCGUGCUUAACACAUGCAAGUCGAACGGAAAGGCCCUGCUUUUGUGGGGUGCUCGAGUGGCGAACGGGUGAGUAACACGUGAGUAACCUGCCCUUGACUUUGGGAUAACUUCAGGAAACUGGGGCUAAUACCGGAUAGGAGCUCCUGCUGCAUGGUGGGGGUUGGAAAGUUUCGGCGGUUGGGGAUGGACUCGCGGCUUAUCAGCUUGUUGGUGGGGUAGUGGCUUACCAAGGCUUUGACGGGUAGCCGGCCUGGGAGGGUGACCGGCCACAUUGGGACUGAGAUACGGCCCAGACUCCUACGGGAGGCAGGAGUGGAGAAGAUUGCACAAUGGGCGGAAGCCUGAAGCAGCAACGCCGCGUGCGGGAUGACGGCCUUCGGGUUGUAAACCGCUUUCGCCUGUGACGAAGCGUGAGGGACGGUAAUGGGUAAAGAAGCACCGGCUAACUACGG
rnacentral:rRNA from 1 species